rnacentral:telomerase_RNA from 1 species
AUGCUGUGUUAUUUGUUCCACCGUGAUAAUACAUAAUUGUAUUGUGGUUAACAAAUUAGUAACAAAACUAACAAAAUUUAUACAAUUUAAUGGUGUUUCUUGUCCGUGGGUUCAUCUACAUCAAAAAUGUAACGGACUACUCACAGCUUUUCUUUUU